UUGUACGGGUCUAGUAUACGU
rnacentral:piRNA from 1 species